ACGGGAGGCAGCAGUGAGGAAUAUUGGUCAAUGGUCGAGAGACUGAACCAGCCAAGUCGCGUGAAGGAUGGAGGUAUUAUGUAUUGUAAACUUCUUUUAUACGGGGAUAAAGUGCAUCUCGUGCAGGUGUAUUGCAGGUACCGUAAGAAAAAGCAUCGGCUAACUCCGUGCCAGCAGCCGCGGUAAUACGGGGGAUGCGAGCGUUAUCCGGAUUUAUUGGGUUUAAAGGGUGCGUAGGCGGUACAGCGAGUCAGUGGUGAAAUGUCUUGGCUUAACCAGGGAGUUGCCAUUGAUACUGUUGUACUUGAGUGCGUGAAAGGUAGGCGGAAUUUGUUGUGUAGCGGUGAAAUGCAUAGAUAUGACAAAGAACUCCGAUUGCGAAGGCAGCUUACUAGACUGUAACUGACGCUGAGGCACGAAAGUGUGGGUAUCGAACAGGAUUAGAUACCCUGGUA
rnacentral:rRNA from 1 species